CGGUGCGCCUUAUGCAUGCAAGUCGAGCGAAGCUUUUCAGUAGUUUACUACAGAAAAUGACUGAGCGGCGAACGGGUGAGUAACGCGUGAGCAACCUACCUUAGUUACUGGGAUAGCCCGAGGAAACUCGGAUUAAUACCGGAUAUUCUUAUUUAAUCACAUGAUUUUUUAAGGAAAGGUCAGCCGAACUAAGAUGGGCUCGCGUUCUAUCAGCUAGUUGGUAGGGUAAUGGCCUACCAAGGCUACGACGGAUAGCUGGUCUGAGAGGACGAUCAGCCACACUGGGACUGAGACACGGCCCAGACUCCUACGGGAGGCUGCAGCAGGGAAUAUUGCGCAAUGAGCGAAAGCUUGACGCAGCGACACCGCGUGUGGGAUGACGGAUCUAGGUUUGUAAACCACUUUCAGGAGGGAAGAAAAUGACGGUACCUCCACAAGAAGCCCCGG
rnacentral:rRNA from 1 species